rnacentral:rRNA from 1 species
CAGUCGCCACGGUAAUACGAAGGGGGCUAGCGUUGCUCGGAAUCACUGGGCGUAAAGGGUGCGUAGGCGGGUCUUUAAGUCAGGGGUGAAAUCCUGGAGCUCAACUCCAGAACUGCCUUUGAUACUGAAGAUCUUGAGUUCGGGAGAGGUGAGUGGAACUGCGAGUGUAGAGGUGAAAUUCGUAGAUAUUCGGAAGAACACCAGUGGCGAAGGCGACACACUGGCUCAUUACUGACGCUGAGGCUCGAAAGCGUGGGGAGCAAACAGGAUUAGAUACCCCCGUAGUCCCUGUCUCUUAUAC